CUGGCUAUUUAGCUAACGUUACGUGACUUGUGUGAUCUUAAACGUUGUUUACCUAGCUAGAUUCAUUGUUUACCUAGCUAACUAGCUAUAUGUCUUAAGCUGAAGUGUACUGUUAGCUAGCUAGCUAAAGUUAGCUGGAUGGCUCCCUAGCGGACAUUAUUAUUCGUUUCCCAGAGCUGUUGGCUUUUCUAUUUAGAGACAAAUUUUAGCUAGAUAACAUUGAACAUUGUUGGUUAGCUCCCAGCACUGGGGCAUUGUUGGCACUUUGUUCAUUGUUGUUUAACUAGCUAACAUUAACUGGCUGGCUCAUUAGCUAACGUUACGUGACGUGUGUACAACACCCGUUGAAUAUGGCCGGUGUCAGUAAACAUCUGCAAAAAAGCGUAAUGAAGUUGUUUCCAGCCGAGCUGGUUCGGCUGUUUUCAUGUUUUCCAGAGGUAAACAAAUCAUCGGCCAGAGCGUCAAGAGUGCACUCUGAGAGUGAAAUGAGAUGGGUGGGGCUAAAGCUUAAGGGGGUGUGAACAUUGUUGAAUGGAAGAAGAGCUCUUCACUAGAUACCAAAAUAUUCAAAGGCGAUUUUCUCAAAAACUUGUAGAAGCAGCUCAAGUUCCCGUAGCACAUUGUCAAGACAACUCUGAGCCCAGACAUCACCCUGGUCUCAGAUUCCCCAAAGACCAUUAUCAUUCUGGAGCUGACAGUCCCUUGGGAAGAUCUUCUGGAGGAGGCGUACGAGAGGAAGAGGGCCAAGUAUGAGGGACUGCUCAUCGAAUGCCCGAAGUAGGGAUGAUUGGAAGGCUAGGUAUGUUUUGCUGGACAAUCCCUCUCACGAGGAGAACAAUCAGCAACACCAUCAAGGCAGCUGAUAGAGCCUCAAGAUGGCUCUGGAUCAUGAGGAAAUCAAUAGGGAGCAGAGUAAUGCAUUUACACAAUUCGAGGUCUGAUCAACCUCUGCUGGGUCGCCUGGGCGAGGGUGUCUGAUGAUGCAAAACAACCAAUGACCCUAGGUUACGUCACUAAUGAUGUGUCCAGGAGUAUCAAGAGAUGUAUUAAUUACAUUUUUCUCAAAAUUAAAUUGUACCAAAUCGGAACAAAUUUGUUUCAGAAACAAGGGCAAAAGAACCCAGUCUUGGUAAAUAUGUAAUAUCA
rnacentral:lncRNA from 1 species